rnacentral:rRNA from 1 species
CUACGGGUUGCAGCAGUGGGGGAUAUUGCACAAUGGGCGAAAGCCUGAUGCAGCAACGCCGCGUGAAGGAAGACGGUUUUCGGAUUGUAAACUUCUAUCAGCUGGGAAGAAAAUGACGGUACCAGACUAAGAAGCCCCGGCUAACUAUGUGCCAGCAGCCGCGGUAAUACAUAGGGGGCAAGCGUUAUCCGGAAUUACUGGGUGUAAAGGGUACGUAGGCGGCUGAUCAAGUCAGAUGUGAAAGCCCGGGGCUCAACCCCGGGACUGCAUUUGAAACUGGUCGGCUAGAGUGCAGGAGAGGAAAGUGGAAUUCCUAGUGUAGCGGUGAAAUGCGUAGAUAUUAGGAAGAACACCAGUGGCGAAGGCGGCUUUCUGGACUGUAACUGACGCUGAGGUACGAAAGCGUGGGGAGCGAACAGGAUUAGAUACCCGGGUAGUC